rnacentral:rRNA from 1 species
CCCUUAGAUGUUCUGGGCUGCACGCGCGCUACACUGAAGCGUUCAACGAGUAUUCACCUUGCCCGGGAGGGUUGGGUAAUCUUUUGAAAACGCUUCGUGAUGGGGAUAGAUUAUUGCAAUAUUAAUCUUCAACGAGGAAUUCCUAGUAAGCGCGAGUCAUCAGCUCGUGCUGAUUACGUCCCUGCCCUUUGUACACACCGCCCGUCGCACCUACCGAUUGAAUGGUCCGGUGAAAUCUCGGGACGGCGGCUCGGUCGCUUGCGUCCGACUGCUGAAACUUGAUUAAACCAUAUCAUUUAGAGGAAGGUGAAGUCGUAACA